GUCACAACAGGAACUCCUAGAUUUUCUUCUUUAUAAGGCAGUUGUGCUUGAUCAUAGAAUUUGUUCCCUUCUAUUACAGUUCAUAGAAAGGAUUUGACAAUGAUCAGUCGCUUCCAUCUGGGGACAAUUUUGCACCAUCCGUCCUCACAGGUGACAUUGGCAGUAUCUGAAGAUAUUUUUGGUUGUCACAAUUGAGAAAGGGGUGCUACUGGUAUCUAGCGGGUAGAGGCAGGGAUGAUGCUAAACAACCCACGACACACAGGACAGCCCCUCUGCAACAAAGAUAAUCUGGCCCCAAAGGCUGAUCGUGCCAAGAUUGAGAAACUUUGGUUUAUAAUUAUAAUGUCUUUUUAAAACCUUCCGACAGGAAUCCCGAGUACAAGUGUGACUGCUAGCUGUUUCUCCUAACUCCUUUGGCUUAGAUAUAAAAUUUGAAAAUGUUUAUUUGUCAAAAAUGAUUAAAGGAGAAUGAGCAUUGUUACAAUGAAUGGAAUAUCUUUUCUGCUUCAGCCAUGAUGCUAAAUAUGUUAAUGAGGAUCGUAACAUUCAUUUCAUCAUUUUCUCCAGAACACUGGCCCUUUGGGUCAAAGGCUGACAUAAAGCUUUCAGAGCAAAUGAUAGGUAGACUGCAAGUUUCAAAUAAAUUAUGCAAUUCAAAUCAAUUAUGCAAUUCAAACCAUUUUGUCUGAGUUUCUAGGCAUGAAAACGUGUGGCAUUUCAGAGUUAAACUUUAUCAGGUCAUCAUAUCAUAAUGGGAUUGAUGUUGCCACAAUAACGUUUCCUCUGACUUUCAGAGAAGCUAGAGAUGCAAGCACAGGCAUGACAUCCACUUUGCAGCAUCGUAAGUCAGGCUGCAGGCUCUGUUUUACUCCAGGAAAGAUAAACCAGCUUUGCUGUGAUUUUUGAGGGCCUGGCUAAUUGGGUCUUCACUGUCAGCCAGAUGUAUCAUCAAAACAUACUGCAUGAGAAAGCAGCACAAGAAAGCUUUUGUGUUUGAGGGACUGAAGAGGAGAAAGGGAUCUGACCUUGGCUGGACCCCUGGGGACUGGAGCAAAGGUAAAUAGUGGCUGGUCCCGUGAGGAGGAGACCCUGCUUCUCUUGGGAAGACCUCAGAGGAAAUGACUGCAGGCUGAUGGGUGAGGCUGGGAACCAGGAA
ensembl:lncRNA